rnacentral:lncRNA from 1 species
UCUAACAAGAGUAUAUGCAGGAGGUAUGCCAUUGACUCUGAGCAUCCUGGCGUGGCCUGGGGGUCCAGAUCUGUGACGAUCUGCGCGGCGAGUGCAUACGGCGCGGGGAACAGCGUGGCGUACCACCGUGGGGCGUGCUUCGCCAACGACAUCGUCAUCGUCAUAUGGUUGUCAGGUCCAGGAGGUGGUUUCAAGAAUACUCCGAUGGAGGGCCUCUUGGUUCCAGUAUUCAAGAAGCAAAUGCAGUUCUGGGGUUGGGACAAUCCUAUGAUUAAUGGGUGCAAAUUAGAGAACGGACUACCCAGCAUAAUGCUCACUGGAUUUUCUACCGGAUGUUUUGAUAAAUUUACAUCAUUUUUCAUUUAG